rnacentral:tRNA from 1 species
CAUCAAAUGGCUGAAAGUAAGUAAUGGUCUCUUAAACCAGUCUAUAGUAAUUUAACAAAUACUUUUGAUGA